CCUGACCUGAGCCGAAGCCGGAUGCUCAACCGACUGAGCCACCCAGGUGACUCUAUAUUUACUUUGUUUUUAAAUAUGCAACAACGUGAAUCCCGGCUGACUUGUAGGGUGGGUGAUUGGUGUUUUCCUCGUGUAUGUUUCUCAAUUCUUUACAUGAGCAUAUUUAAUAUCCUGGAAGAAAAUAUUUUUUGAAAAAGCUUUGGGUUGCACUGGUUAAAAUGUGAUAACUUGAUUGAAAUACAAGUCUGUUAAAUCCAUAAAUACAGAUGCAAGAAAGACAUUUGUAAUUUUCCAGUGACGAGUGGAGAUAUUUGAAACCCCUUGGUGUUUUUUAAGACGGAAUUCUCUUCUACAGAAUUAAGUUCUCUUUGUUUAAAUCUGUUCUUGGUUUUCAAAUUGAAUAGAGUCCCUGGCACAUACCUGUGGUUCUCAUGAUGUAUGUGCAUGUGCUAACUUCAUUUAUAGACAGCAGGGAGAGACGGGGCCUCUAAUGCAUCUUUCCCAAUAAAAGGGCGUAGUCAGAAAAAUACUUAGUCUGAUAGUUUCGUAUAUGAAACUCGGUCACUUACGAUAGGUCCGCACGAAGGACAAGACUAAAGCUGUGGUAAAAUAAUUUAUAAGAUACACGCAGUCAUGUGCUUAUGAAGGAAGUAAUAAACCAGUGAAGACCGUUUGGUUCAGAUUUCCAAACCAGGAAACUGCGAUCUACAUCAGGCAGAGAGCACGUUAAUUCAAUGGAAAGGGUUUUCUUUAACUGAACUAUUUGUAGUGUGGACAGUCGAAAUGAUCUAUCUCUUUGAGCUUGAAACACAAGUUGUGCGUUUUAAGAAGUAAAAGGCAACACAGUGGAAGGUACAGAUAUCGUCAAAUACGGCAAGCGUCGCAGUGAAUGUGGGGGGACAUCACACACCUGCCCCCGUGUGCCUCCCUGUGUUUGCUCAUUGAGCCUGGGAAACUGAGACAGAGGUCAUAGUGGACCUCAGCACACCCUGAGCCAUGGGACCACAAGCGGUUUUUCCUCGGGACACAAGCAGCUCCUCCCUACAUGCAGGGGUCCCGGGUGAACGCUGCCCUUGCUUGGUAAGGUGCACAGCGACAGGCAGUCACUACCCUACCGAUGCCUUUGUGUUUGCAAAUUACUUGGGCAACUGGGAACACAAGAGAGAUGGGAUUAGGAAAUGAAGAAAUGCCCACGUGAGGUGGGGCCCCACGGUUUUGCCUGGCUUCUCCGUGGUCUUUGUUAUUCAAAUAUCCUGUUGUGUAAGUGCAAAGACAGGAAGUGAGUUCUACAAACCCUUACAACAACAGCAGUCUUGGGUUUCAGAUAAGUAGGUGUGCCUAGUGCUUCGGGAAUUGAUACAUAUUUAGGUUUUUUUGUUUGUUUUUUGAAAAUGCUGGAAAGUACUACAUUUUCUCUGGGCAAAACAUCUUUGGUAUUUCAAAAAAGCCCUGACAUUACUGUGUAAGUAGUCUCGUUAAUAACUGCCUCUUGGGCCUGUCCCAGACUUUAAUUGUUUAGCUUUGCGCUUUAUUUCUGUCUCUCUCAAAACACGGCCGGGUGUCUUCAGAGGUGAGAGAGAGGUGGAGCCAGUGAGCAGCACAGGGUAGGCUGUGCAUUGUUUUUGGCCCCGGGGCUGCUGGUUUUCCUGGGGAUCAGACCCCCUGGGCGUGUGUGCGGGGAGAGGGACCCCCUUGCGCUGUCACCCGCGGGGCUGGCUUUCUGCAGAAAGGGGGCUGCGGUGGGAGGGUUUCCUCUGCUGCUCAGUGCCCGCUCCUUCCUCUUUCAGGCCCAGAAGCCCAAGAACCUCCAUGUGAGCCUUAUUCCCCACUCUGUUCCCAUUUCCGUGCACUGGUUGUAUUUUGGAUUUCAGAGUUUGGAAAUCUAAACAUUUUCCCGCACUGAGGAAUACGCAAGGAUUUUGGUUCAGACUCCAAGUUAGGAAACACCUACGGAGUUGGUGUGUUCGUAAGAAAAACUGGAUGAAAUGCAAUAAAGUGGCGUUUUUUUGGUGGGGGGGGGGGGGUAUGGCUGUUACUCAUUUUAUCGACACACCGUAUUUUAAGUGAGCCUCCCAGGUCGUAGGAUUGGGAAGCGGCCCUCCUGAUUGUCCCGAACGAAACCUUGAACUGAGAAUAGGGAGUGUGGGAGUUUGGGCUUUUCCAGUAGUUUCUGAGCUCUGGACUCCGGGAUGGGGAAUGAGUUCCCGGCCCGGCUCGCCUCCGCCCCCUGCCUCCAGUGGGCCCAGAAGACCGUUUCCCCUUUCUGCUCCUCAAAUAAGCCUCGGCCUGGCCUCCCUGCUCGGCUUUACCCCCCGAGGCCAGCGGGCCGGUGAGCGAGUGCCAGUCUCCUGCUUGGACACAGUGAAUGUCCUCAAGCCUCAACAAAACGACUAACGCGUCUUUAAAGUUUCUCUUAGAAGGGUCACCACAUUCUGAGGAAGUUCAAAGAAUAUAAAGUCGAACGUUCGGGGAGGAAAUCGGCUACAUUUUGCUCUGGUGUUUUCAGGCGGGCGAUGGGCAUUUAGCGCAUUAAUUACGCAAGACCCGCUACAUUUUAAAAGUCAUUUGAAGAUUUGGGGAAGAGAUCCAAAGUGUUGCGAGACCGACGGCCUUUCCGACGGCCUUUCGUGUUGAAUCAAGACGCCUUCCACUCACAGAAGUGCUUCUGACCUAAGUGGAAAUUGAAUUCAGGCCCAGCAGCAGGUAAGAGGGCCUGGUCCGGGGCGUGGGGAGUCUUGGGGGGUUCUUUCUCCGUGGGUUUUGAGAGCAAAGUCGCCCUUCGGAGAGCACGACGCGGUGAACGCUGAUGUGACAGACCAAGCCUGGGAGGCCACAUCGCAAACACACGCCGGCCCGAAAUCCUUAUUAACGUCACUGAGAUCACUUCAAAUUUAUGGUAUCGACAGCGAUGCGGAUAAUGAUCACACAAGGGCCGUAACGACAGGACCCGGCAAGGAGGGUCUGUUUUCUUCAUCUGGAUCUUUAUUUUCUGUAACACGUGAGAAAAUCGAAUCGAGGGAUGGGCUUUCGUGGUUGCCAGGAAACAGGUAUUUACGUUGUGAAGAUAAGUGUUUGUCAAAUAUCAGUCAUUUCAACCACCCUUUGGGCAUCUUCCGCUCCGCAGAGGUGCCCGCUGAUAAUGGCCUGCUGAUCUGCCAGCAACAUCACGAAGAGAAGUUUCUGGCGAGGGUUCCUUUCUGUCGCAUAUAGAUGUCCAGGCCUCUGUCAACUCUGCACCAGCCAAAGCCCUGAAACGAUCUGGGGGAAGCCAAUAUUCCAAGAAAGGCUUUUCCUCAGGAGAAAACCCGGUUUCACACCUGGGUUGAGGAUCUUUGUCAGGACGAGCCCUCUCGGUCUUUCCACCGAGAGGGAGCCGCUUGCCAGAAAAAGCGAAUUAACUGCGUUAAGCUUCGAAAAGGAAAAUUAAGUGGGCUUUAGCAUUUUUUCAACCUGUUUUCUGUUACCUGGUGACACCUUUUAAGGGAAGUUAAAAACACUGUGGUUCUUCAACACCUAAGUGGAAAAUCGGGGUAGAAACUAUCUUCAGCCACGGAACAACUGCUGUCUCAGAAAGUCUCUAACGUCCAUAAUUCUAUUGAGUACAUGCCAAGAAACACCCAGCAAUUGUCAAGAUUAACUGGUAAAUCAAUCCUGUCUUGAAAAAUCACUGAAACGCCUAUUGCCAGGCAUCUGACCCUCUCCUACCCAAUGUGUUGCUGAUGUGGGGUUGUCCACACGGCCUUGGGGUCCCCAAACCUUAAGUCAAAUAGGACUACAAGCUGAUUAGCGCCCAGCAGGAUGCACACCAGUGACAGGAAAGUGGCAAUCUGCACAGAAUUCGCUUAGGCUUCGCGAGAACAGAGACUGAGAGGCGUGCCCUGACCACUGGGCCCGAAAGACAGGGAUCAUGUCCCCACUAGCCUCAGAUGUCAACUACGAUCAGCUUCUCCUUCCAAAGUAACAAAAUAAAUGAUGAAUUAACACUUGGGUGUCACCAUGUACUUUCUGCAUUUAGAAAUCUGGGUAGCUUGCCGAUCCGAAAAAACGUGACGGACACCUUUAAAUGGAAAUGUCUAGGUACCGCCUUCUCAAAUAUUUAUAGUCUUGCAAGCUUUUCAUGUCCCUUAGAGACUGAUCAGCGGUCCUUUCACCAGCAUCAAAUACAUCAUGAGAAAAGAAAUAAAAACAAAAGACGCAAAUGAGACCGAGAAAAGCAGAACUUAGAAGCUGUCUGUCUGUCUGAUUCUCGGACGGUUGCCUAGGCAGUUUUGUUAUUUUAGAAACCACACGAAAGAACUGUGUAUUAGUUAACUUAUUCAUUCUGGAGAGAAAUGGCCCCAGCCAGUGGCUGUCUCACGGCGUCAGGGAAAGCCAGGUCAUCAUUCCCCCGCACAGGACGGCGGGGAACAGGCUGUCCGCGCAGAGCCAGGGGCUUCUCCUGGGGUCCUCACUGGUGGGCUCUCGGUGCCUCUCUCGGCUGCUUUAUUCACCAAGAAGAGCACGAUGUGGGGUCGAGGCAGUGACGUCCCAGUAGGAGCACGAAACCUUCCACAUUUCCACCGCCUAGAGCUCCGCGUGGGCUGGCUCGGAGCCGAAAGCCGAGUGGCCCCGCAGGGUGACGUGUCUGCGGAGGGACAGCGCGCCUGCCCCCGGAGUGCGGGCGUGCACCUGCAGCCUCACUGCGGGCAGCGACGGGGAGCCCUGCCCCGCCCGGCACCCUGGCACCAGGAUCGUGUGUUCGGCUGGAGUCCUAGCCUCACCUAGCCGGACUUUCCACGGGGCCCGGCUGCCGGCUGCAUCACCAUAGCAAUGGACAAACACGGUGAGAGUCGGCAGGGCCCCGCAGCUGCGGAAACCCUGCCCUCCUGGCCGCCCCGCGGGAGGGGCCGGGCUAAUUUCCAUGCGGCGUUUGGGGAUGUUGGGAUUCAGAGAUCAAAGAAGGUCAAAAGGGGGCCGUUGGGAUGGCAGAUAUUUAUUGUGUUUAAUAUAAAUACAAACGUGUCCAAGAAGAGAAACUGAAACCUUAACAGGCCUGUGGAUGGCGUUUGGUAAAUAGAAAAGAACACAUCUUGAAAGCAGGCGGCUGGUGAAAUUGACCGACACUGCAGAAGCUGUCGCGAUUUAAACUGGGACAAAUUAAGACAGCAACAAUCUUCACCGACAUCGAACAUACACAUUAGUUGAAAACCCUGAGGAAGACGUCUAGCUGCGCUUGAGAAACGCUUCGGGAAACCUUCUGGCCACAAAUGCAAACACAGCCCAGCGCACUUUAGAAAUUUCUGGUCGCCCUCCUUAGCUGCGCUCGUUGUAUUAUUAAGAGUGUUUGUUUCAUACCAUUAACUGUGCAGUCAAGUUGGAGCCCGUUAAACAGCAUUAAUUUGACAAAUUGUGGGAUGGGGGUGUGAGUGCCGGCUGGAGAAAGGGGCUUUGUGUUUCGGGGUCUCCAUUAGUGAAACAAUAAAUAAGGCUAUGGUAAAACUGAUAUGAUGGGAAAUGACUUCUAUUCAGUUAACUCAAUUAUUAGUGCUAAUUGGGGCCAGGUGAAGCAUGGAUAAUUGAAAUUCACAGAUAAUCCAAAAACCUCUAUUUAACCAAUAACUUCAAACUUCUUCCCCAUCAAACCAAUUACCGGAGGAGCUAACAAAUAGAAAAAAUGGAUUAAAUUGAAUUUUGCCUCCCCAAAGAUUACCACUAUGAUGUCUUUCUAUUGAUUAAUCCACAACAAGAGCCAAGGGUUGACUGCAUUCAAGAGACUAAAUUACAGACGGUCCCCAACAAUUGAAAAGGAAAAGGCUACGUCCCAAAGUUGAUGACUCCGCUACCUGAAGCUCGGAAUGCUUUUUCCGCAGAGCGCCAUAUUCCUAGGGGCUCUGAGGCAGCGCCCAGGGGCCAACUGAUGACCUAGUGACACUGGAAAUAUAUUUAGCAUCCUAACUCCUUUAAUGAAUCCCCUCUGAAUCCUGAAGCCUUAUCCUCCAGCCCCUAAAUCUCUCUGAGCCCUAAAUCUAAGGGUUUUUUUUAGUUGAGGUAAAUUCACACAAGGUGAACAACCAUUGUGAGUUGAGUGUGCACAUCAGUGACAUCUAGAACAUUCACGAGGCUGGGCGACCACCCGCCUCUAUCAACUGUCUCAACAUUUUCAUCGCCCCCGAGAGAAACCCCUUUGGGACCCUCAGCAGCCACUGCCCGUUGUCCCCUCCCCCCAGCCCCUGGCGACCACAGAUCGACUCACUGGAGCUAUGGGUUCCCCUGUUCUGGACAUUCCAUGUCAACGGAAUCAUGCAACAUGUGGUCUUUCGUGUCUGGCUUCUUUCACUGCCGUAAUCUAUUUAAGGUUCAUCCGUGUGAUCGCAUGUGUGAGGACGUCGUUCCCUUUUAUUGCCAAGUGACUCUCCGUGGUCUGGACAGACCACACGUUCUUGACCCACCUGUCAGCUGACGGACGCUUGGGUUGUCUCCAUCUCGCGGCCACGUGCAACCGUCACCCCUAAGGUUGCACCCUGACAUGCCCUGCCCUCGGAGGAAAUGGGAAGUGGAGGGGGAAGGGUGGGCAGAAGCUUGGGAAGCAGGGGGGCCCCUGUGGCGGAGCAUGGGGAGGCUCCUCCCGUGCACCGGGCCGCGGCACUCCCAGGCGCUGGCGUCUGGGGCGGGCAGCGUCCCUCCCGCAGGGCUGCCGUCGGCAGGGACAUUCCGCCAGAAGCAUCGACAGUGAGGGAUAAUUCGAGACAGCGUCAACCAUGGUGGAGAACACAGGGAGACAUGGAACCCGUCAGAGAGGGGCACGAGGGAGGCCGGAAGAGGCCCGCUGGGGGCAGGUACCUCCUUCAGAGUCGGGUGUCGCUGGUUCCCAAGACGGAUCACAGAACUGGACUGACCCAGCGAGAAAUCUGGCAAGUGGUGUUGGCCUGUUCUCCACUUUUCUGAAAACGCAGGCGCCAGGAGAGGUUUCCAUAGCAGCUUCCAAAUUGGACACCAAACUUCACUCAGCAGGACAUUGAUAGUUUUCCAUUUCUCCUUUUCCACGUUUCAUCACUUUUCUUGGCGUCCUACAGUUUGUAAAAGGUACAGAUGGCGGCCGCCAUGCUUGCGGGCGCUGAAGGACCCGGUCAAGGUAAGGACGGCCCCUGCUGGGUCUGCUCAGUCCCAGCCAGGCUGCAGGAGGAGUUGGGGGGCAGCCAAGGGGUGCCCCCAGAUGUGCGCCUGCCUUUCUCGUGCAGUGAGUCAAGUGCUGUAGAUGCCAGGGGCCCCCGCUUCCUCAUGACAGUGGCCAGGCUGGUGGGGGAGCCCCUGGUGUCCCCUCCAUUUUCUUAGUGACACAGUGGGCAAGACCUGUCCCUCUGCCGCUGCAGGGACGCCUGUGUUUCUCAAGUGCACGGGGCUGAGUUCCAACUCACUACCUCCCGGAGCCUCCAGGGUUCCAGACCCCCUUCCGGUCUUACGCGCAGGUCGUCCCUGGUUCGCCCUCUGUCAGGACUGGGCGGGACAGUGCGGCGGGACACUUGGGACAAAUAGUUAGCAGGCCGAUCCUGGAGGGCCUGGCUCCUGCCCUCCUCAGUUACCUGCCUUGCCGUUGGCCCACGCGGACCCUGAGCCAACCGGCCCCUUUCUGAAGCCCAAACCAGGUCCUGGGAGCUGUGGACAAGUCUGUCCCCUGGACAGACUACAGACCCAAGCUCCGCUUCUGGGCAGCCCCAAACGGCCGUAGUCAUCCUUUGUUUCUGCCUCUUCGCCCACCUCGCUGAAUCUCCGUCAGUCUCCAGAGAAGUCUCCGUGCCUUCCCCCGUCCCACCAUCCUGCCCAAUGACGCGUCUGCAGGUGACACGCUGGCACGUUGUUAACAGGAACAGAGUUGACACCAACUUUUACUCUCCUCUCUCCUCCUCCGAAUCACCUGCCUUUCUCUCCCGGCCUUGAGGGGCGGCGCACCCCUCUACUGCUGAGGUCAGUCUGUCCUGGGUCCUUUUCACCAUCAUCGUCAUCUAUGGUCAGGUCAUUUCCCACCCACUCAGUUUUUAUUCUUCUCUUGGUCGACACGCGUGUCCACAUUCUUCCAGCUGGAAAACCGGCCACAAGGACCGGGGAGGGUGUCCCAAAGCCCCUGAGCGCCCGGCGCCUCCUUACCCCGCGAUCCGGCUGCGGAGACCGCACUACCGCGUGAACCGUGUGGCGGACGGACGGCAGGUGCUAAGGAGGAGGUUCACGCAGGAAGUGUGCGUGGGUGCGCGGGACGCCCCUCAGAACACACGCGCGUGCACCCCGAAGAUGACACCCAGGCCGCUGACCCAGGAGCAGCUCCUACUGCCUUCCUUGUGCCCCGUCCGUUUCCCGUACUUUCCGUGAGCAACACAUGAACACACAGCGACUUUUAGCGAGCACUGAGCUAAGAGCUGUAGUGCCUUGGCUCGUUUAACUUUUCCAGCUGCUCUGAGGAUUGUCCCCUUACGACCCCUGUCUUAUAGACAAGGGAGCUGAUGCUUUGAGCGCCCGUGAGGCCUCCGGAGCCGACCGGCCCCUCCUCCCCCCCCCCCCCCCCCGGUGCUCUCACACCUGUGGCUGUGAAGCGGGAGCGGGUCCCCAUGGCCAGGGCUGGCGGGACGUACACCCAGAAGAAUUGAAGGAGACGGGAUGGGCGGCAGCAGAAGGUGGGCUGAAGAGCCCUGAGCGGGGAAAGCCCUCACACGGACCCGUCUCUGGGAGGCGUCCUCAGCUGUAGGCUGUCACCACCCUGGAGGGGUGAGGGGUGAGGGGCUUCAGUUCCGAGGGGGAUCUGGAUGGCCCGCUGUGUGCCCACGACAAACACCCACGGACUCUCGAGGGCACAUUCAAAUCUCACUUCCCCCAGGGAGCGUUCCUCGAUUACCCUGAUCAGGAUGGGCCCUAACGACCCCACAAAAAUACCUUGUGCCCGCUGGGAGAUCACCUUCUCCCUUCCGCCCAUCGGGCCCUGGUGAUCUCCAAUCUGUCUUCUCUCCUGGACAUCGCCUACAAGAAGAACCACGGUACGUGUCCUUCUGUGCCCGGCCUCUUUCACUGGGCAGAGUUUGUCAAGGUUUUGGGUCUCCCCCCAAAUUUAUGUGUUGAACCCUUAACCCCCGGUGUGAUGGUAUGAGGAGGUGGGGCACUGGGAGGUGAUUGGGUCAUGAGGGGGAUCGGUGCCCUCGUAAACCACGGGGAGCCGUGGGAUUUCUGUCCGCUUGGGGAGCACACCGCGAGGAGGCACCAUCUACAGGCCAGGAAGAUGGUCUUCACCAGAUCCGGGCUCUGCCGGCACGUCCCUAUCAGACUUCCAGCCCCCAGAACUGUGACAGAUACGUGUCUGUUUGUUCAAGCUGCCGUGCCUGGGAUACUGUGCUAGGGACGCCUGAGUAGAUUAAGCAGGUGCAUCCUGGGAAGCGGUUCGGGACCUGGGAGCAGCUACAGAUGCACAGCCACCUUCAGUAGCAAGAGUGAUGGUUAUCAUAUAAAAUUCAUCAUCCAGGAGCACCUGGGUGGCUCCCUCAGUUGAGCGUCCGACUCUUGGUUUUGGCUCAGGCUAGGAUCUCGCGGU